GGUGAGAUGGCCGAGCGGUCUAAGGCGCUAGCUUCAGGUUCAAAGCCUUCAUUGCUAGUCUCAUUGAGGCGUGGGUUCGAAUCCCACUCUCAUCA